AAGAAGAAGAAGAAGAAGAAGAAGAAGAAGAAGAAGAAGAAGAAGAAGAAGAAGAAGAAGAAGAAGAAGAAGAAACAACAACAACAACAAUUGAAAAACUGUAACCUGUCAGCUUGAUGUCUAUACUGGGCAAGGUCUUUGAAUGGAUUAUUAGACAGUAUAUGUAUCCUUUUUGGUCACCAGUUCUGAAGCAUUUCUCCGGUUUCUACAGAAUGCAAGAGUGACUUGUGGUGAAGAGAUGGGCCUUCUGCUGGUGUCUUCUGCUUAGAAUGGGAACGAUAAACUUUGUAGCAGCAAUGACAACAUUAUCCCUGGAAAGGCAUAUACGCAGUGGUGGAAUUCAGCCAGUUCGCACUGGCUGAACAGGGUUUGGCAACACUGAGCCAAUAGACCAGGUAUGACCUGCCAUCAUAAAUUAUCUAGCCUGUGGUCCUAAAAAUAUUCAUUCAACCUGCAAAAGAAAGACAUCAUCAUCUCAUCAUGAGUGAAAAUGGUGGUAGCGGCAUGACCUUUGGUCCUGUACAGAGGAAGUUUGCUGAUUCUUGCUCUAAUAGGACUAUAGUGGCACACAAAUAUAUUUUUAAAUUACAUCUCAUGUUGGCAAUACAGAGGAAAUACCGUCUGUAUUUUCUUCCUUUUUUCUUUUUCUUUUUUAUGAUUUACAUCUCUGUACAUUUCAUUGCCACCAAGAAGGCAUGACUCUGGGAUCUACCAAGACAGCAUUGCUGGAUAGAAGGGACUUGGACAAUGUCUUCUCUGCUAGAUCUUUUGCGUUAUGAAGAAACAAUGGAAGAAAGUUGGCUCUAUACCAUGAAGGGCUUCAUAGAUGAUGACCAGCACCUUGAAUGGUACCUGGAAGCCUACUGGGAAUACUGCAUGUCACAGAGCUGCAGUGUUACACAACUGCAACAGGAACUCCAAAACUGCCCACAUCACUGUUUUCUGGCUCAGCAUGCUUCCAGGUGCUCUUCCAAGGCAAUCCCAUGUACAGCACUUUGCAUAAUCUAAACAGAAGGUGAGUAAGGCGUGAGUCACUAUGAGGAAGCCUUCCCAGUCUGAGGAUAGAUACAGUUGGUGAAAAAAAUCAAUCUGUACAAAAGCCAUCCCAGCCACAGCUGCCACCUGCUGUUUGAACAGGAGCCAAGAGUCAAGGAGGAACCACAAAUUGUGUAACAAUUCUGACUGGAAAGUACACCCUCAUGCACAAUUAAAAAUGGAAAAUCCUUGGAACUGUGUGGUCUUCACACAACCCAGUCUUGCCAGGAUUGAACCAAAGUUUGUUCUUCCCCAUCCAAAUUUUCAGCCUGCAGGCACUGGAAAGGAUCCUGUGUCAUUUAACACAGGAUUUUGACAGCAUCAUUUGAUAGAGGGAGGAGAUGUACAAUGGAUAUCAUUGGUGUUGUGAUGAAAUUGCAAUCCAUGCUGAUUGAUUACUUGGCCUAGGGGCUUUGUGUAAAUAUUAAAUAGAAAUGAGGAAUGGAGAAAGAGUGAAGCCCUGAAGCACCCCACAAAGUAUGGGCCUAGGGCUCAACCCCUCCCUCCACUAACACCUCCAGAUCUAAAAUAUGAGGUUAUUUGAUUUUUCUUUCUACAGUUAUUGCUUGCAGAAUAAGUUUGGUCUAUGACAUGAAAGCUGUCCCAGAAAACCAUAGUUAAGCUCUCUUGAAAGUUUUCAGCUUUACCUAGAAUUUUGGAGAAAAUAUGAAGACUAUGAAAUAUCAAGGGGCAUAUUUAAUUCUCGCUCUCUUAUUGAAGAACUGGGAACUAACGGAAGCUUACUUGUAAAUUAUAAUAGGGGAUGCAAACACAAUUCUGAUCUAUGGCAUUCAACAGUUUCUUGCCAGAAUUCAUGUGAAGUUCACUCUCAGCCAUGAGUAAAUCAUUGUUCCAGGGGGAAAAAAAAAAAACAGGAUAAGAAGCCCUUAUUUUUUUUUAGAUAACAUAAAAAAAUAUGAAAAGCAAUUUAGCAUUGGACAUCUUAUCACUAGCUGUGAUGUCUUGUUAUAUAUUCCCUGAAGGAUAACAAUGCAGGUGUUUCAAGUAGCUCUUGAAUCACAUCAAAUUCAAGCUAUUCAAAGUUCCCAUUUUAAAAAAAACCUUGCCACUCCGCAAGGCAUUUACAUAUGGUAACAGACUUCACAUAUGGCUCCCAUUUUCCCAUACACACUAGUUUAAUCAAACUGUGCUAAAUAUUAUUUAUUUAUGUGUUCGUUUAUAGAUAGCAUUCGUAGCAAUUUUCCUGCAAGUGCAAGUUUCCUUUUUUGGGGAUCAACUCUGUUGAUCCACUGGUUUUGCCUGGAAUUGAUUGACUGACUUGUCAUCCAAGUUAUGGGUUAGCUUUCAUACUUAAGGAGGGAUUAGAACACAGUCUUUUUGGUUUCUAGCCUGGUCCCUUAAUCACUAGAGCAAGCUGAAUCUUGUUGUAUACAUAUAUUUAAUAUUGUAAAUAUUAGCAUUAUUGAGUCCAUCUAUCCUGAUUCUGAUCAUCAGCUUCUCAUCUUCUUUGGGGAGCUAUUUGUUUAUUUGUUUGAUGAUUCAUUGGUUUGUUUCCUUGGCUGUAUUCUCAGGAACCUUCUUUAAGACCAAAUUUAAAAGCAUCAGUGCUCUUUUGCAAAUAUAUAGAAUAAUAAAAACUGCUGUACACAAUGAGAUGAACUGUUGAAAAAGAAAACAUGCACCAGAAAAUAAAGUGAACUUAAAACUACAGUUAGAAAACAUUAAGGAAGAUGUUCCUGAAUGGUUCAUAUUGUUUAGUAGAUGCCACUAAGAUUGCAGGUGUAUGCAAUUUCUUGGCAAAAUUGACUUUACAGUGCUUUUAUUUUUAUUUUCUUAAUUAUUGCUUCAUUUGAAGCUCACACAUUAUUUUGUCUAUUCUGUAUAUCCUCCGGGAUUUUUAGAAACCUUGAAAGCUGCAUUUUUGCUUUGUGGAGAAUGCAUUCUAAUUGCUAGUUUGACAACAUAUAAUAAUAGAAGAGCAUCAGUGAAUGGGAAAAAAAAGACCAAAAUAUGCAAUUAUUUUAUAAAAAGCUUUUUUUUCCCUUGAGGAGAAAAAAAAGUGCACUUACUGUCUAUGACCAAGGAAAUGUUGAGCUCUGUAUGUAAAUUACUCCCCCCUUUGUGUUUAUUGGAAUGGAUUGAACUUGAAAUGACAUUAAGUAAUUUUGAUACUGUGUGGAGAGGUGAUCAAGGAAAGUUACCAUUGCGCAUUAUCACAAAUCCUUAUUCUUCCUACCAAUAAAUCUUUGAACUCAAAUUGUAAAAUAUAGCAAUAGCAUCUGCAAUUUUUAUUUAAACAUUUCUUUUAUUUUUCAGUAAUAUUGAUGCCUGAACAUCCAUGCAAGCCUAUAUAAUA